rnacentral:rRNA from 1 species
UACGAAGGGUGCAAGCGUUACUCGGAAUUACUGGGCGUAAAGCGUGCGUAGGUGGUUUGUUAAGUCUGAUGUGAAAGCCCUGGGCUCAACCUGGGAAUUGCAUUGGAUACUGGCAGGCUAGAGUGCGGUAGAGGGUAGUGGAAUUCCCGGUGUAGCAGUGAAAUGCGUAGAGAUCGGGAGGAGCACCAGUGGCGAAGGCGACUACCUGGACCAGCACUGACACUGAGGCACGAAAGCGUGGGGAGCAAACAGG